rnacentral:rRNA from 1 species
UCGACCUGAGCUCAGGCAAGAUUACCCGGCUGAACUUAAGCAUA